rnacentral:tRNA from 1 species
GGGAGUUUGGCCGAGUGGUUAAGGCGCCGUGUUUAGGUCUUGGCAGGUUCAUUCCUGCCAUACUAUAAACCCGCGGUGGGAAACCGCGCAGGUUCGAAUCCUGCAGCUCUCA